rnacentral:rRNA from 1 species
GGAUGAGCCCGCGGCCUAUCAGCUUGUUGGUGGGGUGAUGGCCUACCAAGGCGACGACGGGUAGCCGGCCUGAGAGGGUGACCGGCCACACUGGGACUGAGAUACGGCCCAGACUCCUACGGGAGGCAGCAGUGGGGAAUAUUGCACAAUGGGCGCAAGCCUGAUGCAGCGACGCCGCGUGAGGGAUGACGGCCUUCGGGUUGUAAACCUCUUUCAGCAGGGACGAAGCGCAAGUGACGGUACCUGUAGAAGAAGGACCGGCCAACUACGUGCCAGCAGCCGCGGUAAUACGUAGGGUCCGAGCGUUGUCCGGAAUUACUGGGCGUAAAGAGCUCGUAGGUGGUUUGUCGCGUUGUUCGUGAAAACUCACAGCUUAACUGUGGGCGUGCGGGCGAUACGGGCAGACUGGAGUACUGCAGGGGAGACUGGAAUUCCUGGUGUAGCGGUGGAAUGCGCAGAUAUCAGGAGGAACACCGGUGGCGAAGGCGGGUCUCUGGGCAGUAACUGACGCUGAGGAGCGAAAGCGUGGGGAGCGAACAGGAUUAGAUACCCUGGUAGUCCACGCCGUAAACGGUGGGUACUAGGUGUGGGUUUCCUUCCUUGGGAUCCGUGCCGUAGCUAACGCAUUAAGUACCCCGCCUGGGGAGUACGGCCGCAAGGCUAAAACUCAAAGGAAUUGACGGGGGCCCGCACAAGCGGCGGAGCAUGUGGAUUAAUUCGAUGCAACGCGAAGAACCUUACCUGGGUUUGACAUGCACAGGACGCCGGCAGAGAUGUCGGUUCCCUUGUGGCCUGUGUGCAGGUGGUGCAUGGCUGUCGUCAGCUCGUGUCGUGAGAUGUUGGGUUAAGUCCCGCAACGAGCGCAACCCUUGUCCUGUAUUGCCAGCAGCACCCUCGGGUGGCUGGGGACUUGCGGGAGACUGCCGGGGUCAACUCGGAGGAAGGUGGGGAUGACGUCAAAUCAUCAUGCCCCUUAUGUCCUGGGCUGCACGCAUGCUACAAUGGCCGGUACAGAGGGCUGCGAUGCCGUGAGGCGGAGCGAAUCCCGGAAAGCCGGUCUCAGUUCGGAUCGGGGUCUGCAACUCGACCCCGUGAAGUCGGAGUCGCUAGUAAUCGCAGAUCAGCAACGCUGCGGUGAAUACGUUCCCGGGCCUUGUACACACCGCCCGUCACGUCACGAAAGUCGGUAACACCCGAAGCCCGCGGCCUAACCCCGUUUGGGGAGGGAGCGGUCGAAGGUGGGGCUGG